rnacentral:rRNA from 1 species
GAUGAACGCUGGCGGCGUGCCUAAUACAUGCAAGUCGAGCGAACGGACGAGAAGCUUGCUUCUCUGAUGUUAGCGGCGGACGGGUGAGUAACACGUGGAUAACCUACCUAUAAGACUGGGAUAACUUCGGGAAACCGGAGCUAAUACCGGAUAAUAUUUUGAACCGCAUGGUUCAAAAGUGAAAGACGGUCUUGCUGUCACUUAUAGAUGGAUCCGCGCUGCAUUAGCUAGUUGGUAAGGUAACGGCUUACCAAGGCAACGAUGCAUAGCCGACCUGAGAGGGUGAUCGGCCACACUGGAACUGAGACACGGUCCAGACUCCUACGGGAGGCAGCAGUAGGGAAUCUUCCGCAAUGGGCGAAAGCCUGACGGAGCAACGCCGCGUGAGUGAUGAAGGUCUUCGGAUCGUAAAACUCUGUUAUUAGGGAAGAACAUAUGUGUAAGUAACUGUGCACAUCUUGACGGUACCUAAUCAGAAAGCCACGGCUAACUACGUGCCAGCAGCCGCGGUAAUACGUAGGUGGCAAGCGUUAUCCGGAAUUAUUGGGCGUAAAGCGCGCGUAGGCGGUUUUUUAAGUCUGAUGUGAAAGCCCACGGCUCAACCGUGGAGGGUCAUUGGAAACUGGAAAACUUGAGUGCAGAAGAGGAAAGUGGAAUUCCAUGUGUAGCGGUGAAAUGCGCAGAGAUAUGGAGGAACACCAGUGGCGAAGGCGACUUUCUGGUCUGUAACUGACGCUGAUGUGCGAAAGCGUGGGGAUCAAACAGGAUUAGAUACCCUGGUAGUCCACGCCGUAAACGAUGAGUGCUAAGUGUUAGGGGGUUUCCGCCCCUUAGUGCUGCAGCUAACGCAUUAAGCACUCCGCCUGGGGAGUACGACCGCAAGGUUGAAACUCAAAGGAAUUGACGGGGACCCGCACAAGCGGUGGAGCAUGUGGUUUAAUUCGAAGCAACGCGAAGAACCUUACCAAAUCUUGACAUCCUUUGACAACUCUAGAGAUAGAGCUUUCCCCUUCGGGGGACAAAGUGACAGGUGGUGCAUGGUUGUCGUCAGCUCGUGUCGUGAGAUGUUGGGUUAAGUCCCGCAACGAGCGCAACCCUUAAGCUUAGUUGUCAUCAUUAAGUUGGGCACUCUAAGUUGACUGCCGGUGACAAACCGGAGGAAGGUGGGGAUGACGUCAAAUCAUCAUGCCCCUUAUGAUUUGGGCUACACAUGUGCUACAAUGGACAAUACAAAGGGCAGCGAAACCGCGAGGUCAAGCAAAUCCCAUAAAGUUGUUCUCAGUUCGGAUUGUAGUCUGCAACUCGACUACAUGAAGCUGGAAUCGCUAGUAAUCGUAGAUCAGCAUGCUACGGUGAAUACGUUCCCGGGUCU